rnacentral:rRNA from 1 species
UACAGAGGGUGCGAGCGUUGUCCGGAAUCACUGGGCGUAAAGGGCGCGUAGGCGGCUUGAUAAGCGUGCGGUGAAAGCCCGGGGCUCAACCCCGGGUCGGCCGUGCGAACUGUCGAGCUGGAGCACUGUAGAGGCAGGUGGAAUUCCGGGUGUAGCGGUGGAAUGCGUAGAGAUCCGGAAGAACACCGGUGGCGAAGGCGGCCCGCUGGGCAGGAAGGCUCGCAAGAGCCGGCUGACGCUGAGGCGCGACAGCGUGGGGAGCAAACAGG